UACAGAGGUCUCAAGCGUUGUUCGGAUUCAUUGGGCGUAAAGGGUGCGUAGGCGGCGCGGUAAGUCGGGUGUGAAAUCUCGGAGCUUAACUCCGAAACUGCAUUCGAUACUGCCGUGCUUGAGGACUGGAGAGGAGACUGGAAUUCAUGGUGUAGCAGUGAAAUGCGUAGAUAUCAGGAGGAAUACCGAUGGCGAAGGCAGGUCUCUGGGCUGACACUGACGCUCAUGCACGAAAGCGUGGGGAGCAAACAGG
rnacentral:rRNA from 1 species